AAUGCCUAGGAAUCUGCCUGGUAGUGGGGGACAACGUUUCGAAAGGAACGCUAAUACCGCAUACGUCCUACGGGAGAAAGCAGGGGACCUUCGGGCCUUGCGCUAUCAGAUGAGCCUAGGUCGGAUUAGCUAGUUGGUGAGGUAAUGGCUCACCAAGGCGACGAUCCGUAACUGGUCUGAGAGGAUGAUCAGUCACACUGGAACUGAGACACGGUCCAGACUCCUACGGGAGGCAGCAGUGGGGAAUAUUGGACAAUGGGCGAAAGCCUGAUCCAGCCAUGCCGCGUGUGUGAAGAAGGUCUUCGGAUUGUAAAGCACUUUAAGUUGGGAGGAAGGGCAGUAAAUUAAGGAGACUGCCGGUGACAAACCGGAGGAAGGUGGGGAUGACGUCAAGUCAUCAUGGCCCUUACGGCCUGGGCUACACACGUGCUACAAUGGUCGGUACAAAGGGUUGCCAAGCCGCGAGGUGGAGCUAAUCCCAUAAAACCGAUCGUAGUCCGGAUCGCAGUCUGCAACUCGACUGCGUGAAGUCGGAAUCGCUAGUAAUCGUGAAUCAGAAUGUCACGGUGA
rnacentral:rRNA from 1 species